UUGUGAGUGUGGGGCAAAUGUGCAUUUUCCGCCCUACAAUCCUUUUUAAGGAAGCGGUCCCUGGUCAUCGUGAGCAAGCCCACCUUUUGAAGUGGGAAGCCUGAAGUGAUUAAUUACUGCGUCCACCUGUCUGAUGACGGGCGGAAACACCAAAGUCCUCGCGCUCACCUU
rnacentral:other from 1 species